AACGAACGCUGGCGGCAUGCCUAACACAUGCAAGUCGAACGAUGCCUUCGGGCAUAGUGGCGCACGGGUGCGUAACGCGUGGGAAUCUGCCCUUGGGUUCGGAAUAACUCAGAGAAAUUUGAGCUAAUACCGGAUGAUGACGUAAGUCCAAAGAUUUAUCGCCAAGGAUGAGCCCGCGUAAGAUUAGCUAGUUGGUGGGGUAAAGGCCUACCAAGGCGACGAUCUUCAGCUGGUCUGAGAGGAUGAUCAGCCACACUGGGACUGAGACACGGCCCAGACUCCUACGGGAGGCAGCAGUGGGGAAUAUUGGACAAUGGGCGAAAGCCUGAUCCAGCAAUGCCGCGUGAAUGAUGAAGGCCUUAGGGUUGUAAAGCUCUUUUACCAGGGAUGAUAAUGACAGUACCUGGAGAAUAAGCUCCGGCUAACUCCGUGCCAGCAGCCGCGGUAAU
rnacentral:rRNA from 1 species